rnacentral:lncRNA from 1 species
GCUUUAACCCUUGUUAUUUAGGCAAGAAAUACAGAUAUGCUUAUGCUUGUGGUGCUAAGAGACCUUGUAAUUUCCCCAACACUCUUACAAAGGUCACUUCAUUCUCUUCUUUUUCCUUUAUUUUCUCCACUAAUAGUGCUUACAGCUGAUGUUAAUUUUUACCUACUCAAAAUAUUUUUGCAGAUUGACUUGUUUGAGAAAAAGGCCAAGAAUUGGUACGAUGAGGGUGCUGUGCCUUCUGAACCAUUCUUUGUCGCUCGACCUGGUGCAACCGAGGAAGACGACGGUAAUUAAUUUAUCAAUACAUCUAUAUAUAAUAAUCCCAAUGUGGUAGCUUUAACCCUUGUUAUUUGGGCAAGAAAUACAGAUAUGCUUAUGCUUGUGGUGCUAAGAGACCUUGUAAUUUCCCCAACACUCUUACAAAGGUCACUUCAUUCUCUUCUUUUUCCUUUAUUUUCUCCACUAAUAGUGCUUACAGCUGAUGUUAAUUUUUACCUACUCAAAAUAUUUUUGCAGAUUGACUUGUUUGAGAAAAAGGCCAAGAAUUGGUACGAUGAGGGUGCUGUGCCUUCUGAACCAUUCUUUGUCGCUCGACCUGGUGCAACCGAGGAAGACGACGGUAAUUAAUUUAUCAAUACAUCUAUAUAUAAUAAUCCCAAUGUGGUUCAGCAUUUUCCUGGAUUCCGCACAUAGCGAGAGCUUUAUGAAAGUGAAUACUAUAGUCUAAGCCUAAUAAAACGAAACAAAAAACAACAGAACAGGCAAUUGAAUUGCAACAUAUAUAUUAAAACAAGGCAUAAUAUUGUGGAAAUAUGCAGGAGU